UACGAGAGGUCCAAGCGUUAGUCGGAAUCACUGGGCUUAAAGGGUGCGUAGGCGGGCCAGUAAGUGUCUCGUGAAAUCCCAUGGCUCAACCAUGGAACUGCGGGGCAUACUGCUGGUCUUGAGGAAGCUAGAGGCCGGCGGAACGAUAGGUGGAGCGGUGGAAUGCGUAGAUAUCUAUCGGAACGCCAAAGGUGAAGACAGCCGGCUAGGGCUUUCCUGACGCUCAGGCACGAAAGCGUGGGGAUCAAACAGG
rnacentral:rRNA from 1 species